rnacentral:antisense_RNA from 1 species
AGAGUUGACGUACAGAGACAGCGUUUGCAGUCAGUUUGCUAGAGGACCUACACCGGCUCCUCAAGUUCCGCUGCUUCCUCCUCCAAGCUGCUAGUAUUGAAAACACAGGAGUUUGGGGUCAUUCAUCAGGAGGAUUCUGCUCCAGUUUGCCCCCUUCUUGGUCCUAGGAUACUGGAGGGCCAGAGAAAGCAAGCUUGAAACAGAGAGGAAUGGGUCACUUUGGUGGAGGAAAUUGGGCCACCAAGCAGCCCUAUGGAGAGGCCAAUGUGGAGAGAAACUGAGGCCUUCCACCAAAAGCCAGCACCAACUUGCUAUCCAUGUGAGUGAACCAGCUUGCAGUACAGAGUGGUCAACUCCAGUCAAGCUUUCAGAUAACUACAGCCCUAGUUGACAUCUUGACUACAACUUCAAGAGAGACAUCAAGGCAGAACUGCUUCGCUAAACUGCUCUUGAAUUCUUGACCCACAGAAACUGAGAGAGAGAAUAAAUAUUUAUUGUUGUUUCAAGUAA